rnacentral:rRNA from 1 species
UAGGGAAUCUUCGGCAAUGGACGAAAGUCUGACCGAGCAACGCCGCGUGAGUGAAGAAGGUUUUCGGAUCGUAAAACUCUGUUGUUAGAGAAGAACAAGGACGUUAGUAACUGAACGUCCCCUGACGGUAUCUAACCAGAAAGCCACGGCUAACUACGUGCCAGCAGCCGCGGUAAUACGUAGGUGGCAAGCGUUGUCCGGAUUUAUUGGGCGUAAAGCGAGCGCAGGCGGUUUCUUAAGUCUGAUGUGAAAGCCCCCGGCUCAACCGGGGAGGGUCAUUGGAAACUGGGAGACUUGAGUGCAGAAGAGGAGAGUGGAAUUCCAUGUGUAGCGGUUAAAUGCGUAGAUAUAUGGAGGAACACCAGUGGCGAAGGCGGCUCUCUGGUCUGUAACUGACGCUGAGGCUCGAAAGCGUGGGGAGCAAACAGG